AGUGAACGCUGGCGGUAGGCCUAACACAUGCAAGUCGAACGGCAGCACAGUAAGAGCUUGCUCUUACGGGUGGCGAGUGGCGGACGGGUGAGGCAUACAUCGGAAUCUACUUUUUCGUGGGGGAUAACGUAGGGAAACUUACGCUAAUACCGCAUACUACCUACGGGUGAAAGCAGGGGAUCUUCGGACCUUGCGCGAUUGAAUGAGCCGAUGUCGGAUUAGCUAGUUGGCGGGGUAAAGGCCCACCAAGGCGACGAUCCGUAGCUGGUCUGAGAGGAUGAUCAGCCACACUGGAACUGAGACACGGUCCAGACUCCUACGGGAGGCAGCAGUGGGGAAUAUUGGACAAUGGGCGCAAGCCUGAUCCAGCCAUACCGCGUGGGUGAAGAAGGCCUUCGGGUUGUAAAGCUCUUUUGUUGGGAAAGAAAAGCAGCAGGUUAAUACCCCGCUGUUCUGACGGUACCCAAAGAAUAAGCAUCGGCUAACUUCGUG
rnacentral:rRNA from 1 species